UACGUAGGGGGCAAGCGUUGUCCGGAAUCAUUGGGCGUAAAGAGCGUGUAGGCGGCCAGAUAAGUCCGCUGUGAAAUCUCGAGGCUCAACUUCGAGCUGUCGGUGGAAACUAUCUGGCUAGAGUCCGGAAGAGGAGAAUGGAAUUCCUGGUGUAGCGGUGAAAUGCGCAGAUAUCGGGAAGAACACCCGUGGCGAAGGCGGUUCUCUGGGACGGUACUGACGCUGAGACGCGAAAGCGUGGGGAGCGAACAGG
rnacentral:rRNA from 1 species